rnacentral:lncRNA from 1 species
GCUGCGUUUCACGAUAAGCAAAAUUAAUUACCAACAUAAAUAACGGUUUGAUUUAACAAGAAUUCUUAUGUCAGUCGUACGACAUUACAGUACCAGAAAAGUCUAUAGGGUGAUCGACGAUUUGGGUAAUCAAAGAGGCCCAACGAAGCUGUGACCAGAAUCCGAAACAAAAUCUAACUAGAAAACGUUGUUCGCGAUAAUAGGUUCACUUCAGAUAAAAAAAAAACUUCAAUUGCACGAAUAAUAAUAUCAUCAACAACUUCGAAAAUUUCCAACGUACGUAGAUAUUAAAAUUGUUAAAAAUUGUGAGUAAUAUCAUAGUAUCAGAAGGUAUUUUCAGCUGACUGAUAUAUUUGUGUAUUUCUUCAAGAUGUUUAUCAAUUCCUGUUCAAAUUAUUUGCUAAACAAGCACAUUGAAUAGAGGUGCACGCUCAGUCAUUAUAAGUAUAAGGUUUUUAUAUUACAUUUCACCAUUGGCAUCGUACACACGAUGUGUAUGUAAUAACGACAUACCAUCUAUUUUUAAACAUAAAUUGUGAUUUGCUAUCAGUAAUUGAGAUACUUAUACUCUGCGCGUAGUAUAAAAACAUUGUAAUAUACAUUCGUUGUUGGUUGUUCAGUGAGCGUGAUGAACAGAAUUCAAGUUACGUUCUUGUAUUUUUUUCCAAAAAUAAAUAAUAAAUAAUGAGGGUAGAUAAAAUAAAUAUACAAAAUAUACAAACAAGAAUGGCAAUUACACAUUUCUGUUCUACGAAAAUCAGUACUCAAUUUACCGGACUUCGAUAACAUUCCAUAAAUUAGACGGUACAUUAACAUUGUUAUUAUAGAAUUUAUUAAUUUUAGAACCAAAAACAACGUUUCAAACUCAACUAAAUUAUCAUGGAGAUCGUAUUAGUUUUUCUAAAUGAUUUACAAUCUCAGGGCUGCAUACGGGUUGAGCUAAUUAUUCAAAAAUAAUUGUCAAUAAUAUAAUGUAAUCAGAGAUAUUGAUGCAUGAGGUUUGUCUCUGGCCACACUGUUUGAAUAAUUAUUUUUGUAAGAUAUCGUGAAAGCGGAAAAUUCCAAUAAGAUUUUUUUAAUCAGCAAAAGGCAUUGACACAAUAGUAAUAUACCGUGUGUCUGAGGCACGUGAAUAAAUAAUUGCAUGAAAUUUAAUCGGAAGUAGUAGUGGUAUAAUAAUUGUAGAAGUAGAUAGAUAGCGAUAGAGAGAGAUAGAAAAAAGAGAGAGAGAGAGAGAGAGUGAGAGAGCGGCAGGGGGGUCUAGGGCUUCAUAAAUUAAUAAUAAAACUGUGUGACAAUAUAAAAUAUCGGGUGAAUAACGAUGGGCGAAAACAAUAAUUGACGAUACCAAGGAAUAUGGAUUUAUAAAGUGACAUCGUAUAACGUGCCUUGGAUUCGACGCAACGAUUACAACUGAAAAGGCUUUUAAAUUUACGUCGCGUGUACCUGUAGUGUACCAAAGACUGUAUUGUAUGUACCUGCGAAUGGAUGCACCUUGCCAGGAUUUAGAUUCAACUUGGCUGCUUCUUGACGUAUGACGGAGAUCAAUUCUUGGUUUAUGAGAAAUAUGAAACGCAAGCCUGCAAUCUACAACAACUAAAAUAGGCCUGCUAUCCACAAAAAUGGGCCUCUUUCCUUCGGAUGAUAGGAAAAAAUCGCCAUUAUUUCUUAGCCGUAUCGUACCCUGCCGCCUGGAUACUUUCCAAGCAGGACCUUCUAAGAGACAGCAAAUUGCUGAGCGGAAAAUUUAUACGAUAAUUCCAAGUUCACGGCUCAUCUUGUCUUUUACCUCACGUGAUCUCAUAAGGUAUCU